rnacentral:tRNA from 2 species
GCCCUGUGGGGCGGGGCCCUGGCCUUCCCGGCGCUCCAGACGGCGGUCCUGGUCAUGGUGGGCAAGUCGCUGGCGCUCGACGUGCCGGCCGGGCAC